UACGAAGGGGGGCUAGCGUUGCUCGGAUUUACUGGGCGUAAAGGGCGCGUAGGCGGACAGUUUAGUCAGAGGUGAAAGCCCAGGGCUCAACCUUGGAAUUGCCUUUGAUACUGGCUGUCUUGAGUACGGGAGAGGUGAGUGGAACUCCGAGUGUAGAGGUGAAAUUCGUAGAUAUUCGGAAGAACACCAGUGGCGAAGGCGACUCACUGGCCCGUUACUGACGCUGAGGCGCGAAAGCGUGGGGGAGCAAACAGG
rnacentral:rRNA from 1 species